rnacentral:rRNA from 1 species
GGCUCAGGAUGAACGCUAGCGAUAGGCUUAACACAUGCAAGUCGAGGGGCAGCACGGUGUAGCAAUACACUGGUGGCGACCGGCGUACGGGUGCGUAACACGUAUGCAACCUACCCGCUAUUGGGGGAUAACCCGGCGAAAGUCGGACUAAUACCCCAUAUUAUUCUUACCGGGCAUCCGGUAGGUCUGAAAGAUUUAUCGAUUGCGGAUGGGCAUGCGGAUGAUUAGCUAGUAGGUGGGGUAACGGCUCACCUAGGCGACGAUCAUUAGGGGUUCUGAGAGGAAGGUCCCCCACACUGGAACUGAGACACGGUCCAGACUCCUACGGGAGGCAGCAGUGAGGAAUAUUGGUCAAUGGGCGCUAGCCUGAACCAGCCAAGUCGCGUGAAGGAUGACAGAAUCUAUGGUUUGUAAACUUCUUUUGCAGGGGAGUAAAGUGCGACACGUGUGUUGUAUUGCAAGUACCCUGCGAAUAAGCAUCGGCUAACUCCGUGCCAGCAGCAGC